rnacentral:tRNA from 1 species
GAGGGUAUAGCUCAGUGGUGGAGCACAUGCUUAGCAUGCACGAGGUCCUGGGUUCAAUCCCCAGGAUCCCCA